rnacentral:misc_RNA from 1 species
GACAAUAUAAAAUGAGGAUACUUAAACAGUAUCCUGAAUUCAUUCAGGACCAAGACCAACACGCAUCUCUGAUUCAUUUGAAAUAAGUAAUGUCAACUGAAAAUUCUAUACAGGGGCAUCACGAAUAUUAAACAAUUAACUAGCAGAUAUAACUGUCACUGUAGAACUAUGCUAAAUGUUUCCAAGAAUGUAAAAUUUGCACAUAGAAGUACCAAAAGACAUAGAUUGACCAUCAACAAUUAUUGCCUCUAGUUAUGUUUCCUCACCAUGAGAUUUCUCUUUUCCUCA